AAGUCGUAACAAGGUUUCCGUAGGUGAACCUGCGGAAGGAUCAUUAACACGUAUCCACGUAUCAACCAACUGCGAACUUGUUCUCAACUCUCCCUGCGCAAGCGAGAUGAAUUGGAAGUCGGACCACGAGAGGAUGAAAGGGGCGGACUAGCAGCAAUGCGAAACCGUUCACUCUCGUAAGACUCAUCUGGAAGUAAAAUCUCCAAACAAUUGUACUCCCUUAUGUCAGGCCGCGCUCGAUUCCGAAGCUUCACCUUUCAGAAGCCGAAGUGUCGAGACGAAUCAUAUAAACAUAUUUCACACCUUUUUGCUAGUUGACUUUUAUAUGUUGUCUGAUUCAUCUUUAUUGAUGACCCAGUCACACGUUUAUUAUUUGAACGUUAAAAUUACAACUCUUAGCAAUGGAUAUCUUGGUUCUC
rnacentral:misc_RNA from 1 species